GAUGAACGCUGGCGGCGUGCCUAAUACAUGCCAGUCGAGCGAACAGACGAGGAGCUUGCUCCUCUGACGUUAGCGGCGGACGGGUGAGUAACACGUGGAUAACCUACCUAUAAGACUGGGAUAACUUCGGGAAACCGGAGCUAAUACCGGAUAAUAUAUUGAACCGCAUGGUUCAAUAGUGAAAGACGGUUUUGCUGUCACUUAUAGAUGGAUCCGCGCCGCAUUAGCUAGUUGGUAAGGUAACGGCUUACCAAGGCAACGAUGCGUAGCCGACCUGAGAGGGGGAUCGGCCACACUGGAACUGAGACACGGUCCAGACUCCUACGGGAGGCAGCAGUAGGGAAUCUUCCGCAAUGGGCGAAAGCUUGACGGAGCAACGCCGCGUGAGUGAUGAAGGUCUUCGGAUCGUAAAACUCUGUUAUUAGGGAAGAACAAAUGUGUAAGUAACUAUGCACGUCUUGACGGUACCUAAUCAGAAAGCCACGGCUAACUACGUG
rnacentral:rRNA from 1 species